rnacentral:misc_RNA from 1 species
CAGAGAACUGCCUCCGGGCAAAUCUCCCACCCUUUGUUUAUCAUGCCCUUGUUGCUUUGGCAGGCCCGCCUCAGGGCUGCCGGCUCCGGCUGGCCAGCGCCUGCCAGAGGACCACAACCCGAGUUAGUGUCGUCCGAGUACCAUUCAAUAGUUA